CUCUUUACAUGGCCCUGCAAUAAACUUUUCUCUGCUCCAAACUGAUGUAUCAGUUUGUCUGGCCUCACUUUGCUUUGUGCAUGGAGCCAGUGGAGGAGUCUGUGCCUAGAGAAGGUUGAUCUCAGGCUGGUGGACUCCCUUCUCUGAGCCCCCAGCAGCAGCCAGAGUACAUUUGGUUCUGGGGGUUUUAGAAGGACUAUCCCUGACCGGUGCUGGCUGCCCAUGGCAUGAGGUUGUUUGGAGCCAAGAAACAUCUGGAGCCAUGGUCCACAUUUGGUUUUGUUGGAUGAGUUGCUCUGUUGCAGCAAAAAUCUAAAUGAAGCUUUUUUUCUCUUGAGAACUAGAAAAGUAAAGGGAACAGUGAACAGGCUAGAGAAGAAACAUAAUCGGGCCUGAAAGGGUUAAUCACUUCUAGUUUUACUUUAACCGUUGCUAAUCUGUGGUGUCUGCAGCUAGAUUUGUCCUUCAUGAAGCUAAACUAUCACCUCCUCCUAAUACUAUGUCAAUUAUAUCUUGCUCCUGGUGUUUGCUCUCCUUUCUCUCUCGUAGCAAUUCACCCCAUAUAACUGUUUGCAUUUCAGAAAGAAGGUCUCAGGCUCUUAACCCAGAGACAAACAGACCCAAUUACUGGGCUGCCAGAUGUGAGCUGUGACUGUUUUGAAAUAAGGCAGGAAGAGGAAGAAUGUAAGAACCUCAUUACUUUGAACUAUAUGAUCUGCCUUAGACCACAAGACCCAGGGUAUAUAACAUCUCUCAAUUCACCUAGGAAGUGGGCAGUUCUUGAGUCACUAGCCUGUUGUGUUCUCUCCCCUUGCUCAGGAGACAGAAUAAAAGCCACUCUUUCUGUUUCCUCCAAAUCUGUCUCUGCAUUUCUAUUUGACAUUGGGCAGGGAGCCAAGAUUUUGGCAGCAGCUCUGGCUUGCACAGGCUGGGAAUUCUCUACACUCCAUUUGGGAGGCUUCCUUUGCAGUAGCAAAGGUGAUACUUUGCAAAACUGCCACAUCUUCAAGAAGAGUCAUUGAAAGAGAUUUCUGAUAACUUUUAAAAUAUUAUUGCUAAACUAGGUAAGAUAUUUUAAAAGUCUAAUGGAAAAAGGGUUAUUUUUUACAUGUGGUGUAUGAGAAUCAUAUAAUUAACAAAUGUGCAUCCAAGUCUUACUAGAUUCCAGUCCCAGAGAUGAUUUUUUUCUUUCAUUUUUUUAGACAAGGUAGAUUCAAUAUCUACCCCUAUAGAGUUUAUAUCUCAGUGAAGAAGGCAGAUAUUAGGCCUCAUAAAGCAAUAUGAUGAGAGUGACAAUACUGACAUUAAUAAUAAUGCACAGUGUUUGCCAAGUGUUUUUGUCUUUCAGUUACUUUGCUUAGUGCUUUAAAUGUGUGAAUUCAAUUUUCACAGCACCAACAUGGAUUGGGCCCUACUGGUCCUUAGUAGGGUAAGAGAUAUUUCCACGCUCACACAGGUAGUGGAGUAGGGAUUUUAAUUUUGUGCAGAACCAGAGCCCAGGCACUUCUUUGCACAAUGUUAAUAUAUAGGAGAUCCUAAGUUUCAUGGGGAUUGGCAGUAGGAUUACUUAACCCAGAUUUAGGCUGGGAUGACUUGAAAUAAUUUUGGAAGAAGUGAAAUAUAAAGAAAGACCUGGAGGUGAAUAGAAAUGCACUAAAUGAAGGAAAAGGAGGAAAUGGAGGGCAGGUAUGAUAAGGGUAGCCUGAGCUUAGUCUAUUGGGGCAGAGAGAUAUGGGGGAAUGCUUGACCGCAGAGCAUUCUGGAUAAGAUGGCCAGGAGGAGAAUAGAAAGAUGUCCACACAGCACAAAGGGCCUAUCUUCAUGAGAUAGGAAAGGGAGGAGGCACUGAGAAUAUAGGGAAAAGAAUACGAUUCAGAAGCUGGGAGAGCCUUAGGGUCAGCUCUCAAGUGUNNNNNNNNNNNNNNNNNNNNNNNNNNNNNNNNNNNNNNNGUUUCAGUUUAUUCUGACUCAACAUAACAGAUCAAACCAGACUAAAGUUAUGGAAUGAGGGAUAAAAUUUGGAGGAAGUGAAUAAUUACCUAAUAACUGAUUCUAGAAAGGUCUGCUGGGUCUGAACCCUACCCUUCUUGAAAUGUUCUCUGCCUUGCCUUCCAGAACCCCAUUAACUGUUGCUUCUUUUCCAUUCUGCCCUGACCUUUCUUUGUCAGUUCUGUUUGCUGACCCUUCCUCUUCUGCUCAGCUAUUUCCUGUCUGAGCUCCCUGUGGCUCCAAGGCCUACUUUUUCCCCACUCAGCAUGCCCUGACUAUCUCAUCCUGUUCUAGAGGAUCAGCUGUCAUCUGUAUUCUGACUCCAUUCACGUUAUUAUCUAGAGUUCUCACUUUUCAUCUAAGUUCCAGGGUCAGGUAUUCAAUUAAGCAUCUCCAUUUAUAUCUCACAGGAACCUCAAGUUCAACACUUUGAGGAUUAAAACCAUGUCUCUUCACCUAUUCUGAUGUACUCCUCCUCCACUGCUCCCGUUCUCUGUAGUGGGCCCAUCAUUCAUUCACCUAUGAUCUUGAGCUAGAAAUCAGUGAAUGAUGUGGCUCUUAUGUCUUUUGAAUGGGUUUACAGUAGACACGUCAAAUUCAUGGCUACCCAACAUCUUUUAAACAAUCCACAUGUAGCAAUUCACACCUUCCAACUCAGAAGUCAAACUCUCAAGAUCUCUUGAAAUCCAGUUGGAUACAUGUGGCAUAAGUUGCCCUAUCACCUGCUUCCAAGUGAGGUUUGAUGUAGAAGUCGUCAACAGAAGAACCAAGAUAUACAUAGGGCUUCCCUCUGGUGGAUACAGCUGGUUUUAAAUAUGUAAGCGUAUUAGGUGACAGCAGCAAUCACAACGUAAAAUUCCCUAUAUGGACCUGGCACUAGUACUGCAGAUUUAGUGAAUAAGGUUGAAUCAGGUUUUGACAUCUUGUAUGAAGUAGCAGUGGAACAACAGACUGGUUCCAAAUAGGAAAAGGAGUA
rnacentral:lncRNA from 1 species